rnacentral:tRNA from 1 species
AUUUAUAUAGUUUAAAUAAAACAUUACACUUUCACUGUAAAAACAAAGACAAUCUUUUAUAAAUA